AGGUGGGGAAGGAAGACAUUAUAAUGGAGGUGGGGAAGGAAGACAUUAUAAUGGAGGUGGGGAAGGAAGGUAUUAUAAAUGGAGGUGGAGAAGGAAGGCUUUAUAAAUGGAGGUGGGGAAGGAAGGCUUUAUAAAUGGAGGUGGGGAAGGAAGGUAUUAUAAAUGGAGGUGGAGAAGGAAGGCUUUAUAAAUGGAGGUGGGGAAGGAAGGCUUUAUAAAUGGAGGUGGGGAAGGAAGGUAUUAUAAUGGAGGUGGGGAAGGAAGAUAUUAUAAAUGGAGGUGGAGAAGGAAGAUAUUUUAUAGUAAACCUGUAGCAGUGUUUUCCUCCAACAGAGCUGCUCGUGGACACCAGACAUUUUAGAGAAUUAAAUCUGACAGUCUGUAUUCUACUGCUUCAUCAUCCUCCGACUCUGAAGAGCCAAAAUGAAACCGCGAGCAUUCAUAUUCAAGGGUUAGCGUAACUAACCCCUCUGAAUCUUUUCACAGAUAGUCAACAUAGAUUUGUUUUCCAUAGGCCGCCACAGGCCGAGACAACACAAACACACCCUCCC